rnacentral:rRNA from 1 species
GAUGAACGCUGGCGGCGUGCUUAACACAUGCAAGUCGAACGGAAAGGCCCUGCUUUUGUGGGGCGCUCGAGUGGCGAACGGGUGAGUAACACGUGAGUAACCUGCCCUUGACUUUGGGAUAACUUCAGGAAACUGGGGCUAAUACCGGAUAUGAGCUCCUGCUGCAUGGUGGGGGUUGGAAAGUUCCGGUGGUUGGGGAUGGACUCGCGGCUUAUCAGCUUGUUGGUGGGGUAGUGGCUUACCAAGGCCGUGACGGGUAGCCGGCCUGAGAACGUGAACGGCCACAAGGGGACUGAGGGACGCAGCAGUCUGGAAUGGGAGGCAGCGGGGGAGAGUAUUACACAGUGAGGGCGAGCGUGGUGCAAAGACGUCGGGUGCGGGAUGACGGCCUUCGGGUUGUAAACCGCUUUCGCCCGAGACGAGGCGUGAGUGACGGUAAUGGGUAAAGAAGCACCGGCUAACUACGUG